UCUCUCCCUCCCUCUCUCCCUCCCUCUCUCUCUCUCACCCAUUAUUAUUACAUAUAUUUUAAUCUCCACCAUCUCUUUGUCUCUCCAGGUGCGCCAGUAUGUAAGUGUCGAAUUUCGCGAUGUGCGGAUGCUGUGGCAGGAAAAUGCCCAACUCCCGGAGAAUUCUGUUGCGACGAUUCACCUGCAAAUAUUCCCUCCCGCUUCCCUCCCGCGCCUCCUCCAGAAGCAGACUGCACGAUCCAAGGCAAUCAACGAGGAAGAUGCAUUUUGUACGAUGCCUGCGGUGAUCGAUUAGCUAAUGUCUUGAGUACUCUGCCUGCUCGGGAGUUUGUGAACCUCUAUGGCUGCGGAGUAAACAGCGACGGACAGUUCCAGGUAUGUUGUCCCUUUGAGUAAUAUGAAGAAGGAAGACCGAUGUAGACAGAUAAUCUUUCUAUACUUAUUCAACAGGAAUGAAUAAGUAAUAGGUAUGUGAGUAUAUUAUGUAUGAAUUAUGUAUGUACGAAUCCAUACAUAUAUAUAUUUUUUUUCCCAUUUCAUUUCACGACCUUGUGACGGAAUUUAUAUUUCGCUUAAUAUGUCUGUCCUUUAAUGUCCACUUCAUUGAUCAAAGAGCAAGGGAGCAACUCGUUUUAGAAAUAAACUCAUAAUUUCACU